rnacentral:rRNA from 1 species
AAUAGAUACCCUGGUAGUCCACGCCGUAAACGAUGGAUACUAGCUGUUUGGUAGUAAUACUGAGUGGCUAAGCGAAAGUGAUAAGUAUCCCACCUGGGGAGUACGGGCGCAGGCCUGAAACUCAAAGGAAUUGACGGGGGCCCGCACAAGCGGUGGAGCAUGUGGUUUAAUUCGAUGAUACGCGAGGAACCUUACCAGGGCUUAAAUGUAGUUUGACGUUAUUGGAAACAGUAAUUUCUUCGGACAAAUUACAAGGUGCUGCAUGGUUGUCGUCAGCUCGUGCCGUGAGGUGUCAGGUUAAGUCCUAUAACGAGCGCAACCCCUGUUGUUAGUUGCCAGCGAGUAAUGUCGGGAACUCUAGCAAGACUGCCAGUGUAAACUGCGAGGAAGGUGGGGAUGACGUCAAAUCAUCACGGCCCUUACGUCCUGGGCCACACACGUGCUACAAUGGCCGGUACAGAGAGCAGCCACUAUGCGAAUAGGAGCGAAUCUAUAAAGCCGGUCACAGUUCGGAUCGGAGUCUGCAACUCGAC